AUUGAACGCUGGCGGCAGGCCUAACACAUGCAAGUCGAGCGGAUGAAGGGAGCUUGCUCCUGGAUUCAGCGGCGGACGGGUGAGUAAUGCCUAGGAAUCUGCCUGGUAGUGGGGGAUAACGUCCGGAAACGGGCGCUAAUACCGCAUACGUCCUGAGAGAGAAAGUGGGGGAUCUUCGGACCUCACGCUAUCAGAUGAGCCUAGGUCGGAUUAGCUAGUUGGUGGGGUAAAGGCCUACCAAGGCGACGAUCCGUAACUGGCCUGAGAGGAUGAUCAGUCACACUGGAACUGAGACACGGUCCAGACUCCUACGGGAGGCAGCAGUGGGGAAUAUUGGACAAUGGGCGAAAGCCUGAUCCAGCCAUGCCGCGUGUGUGAAGAAGGUCUUCGGAUUGUAAAGCACUUUAAGUUGGGAGGAAGGGCAGUAAGUUAAUACCUUGCUGUUUUGACGUUACCAACAGAAUAAGCACCGGCUAACUUCGUG
rnacentral:rRNA from 1 species